GAUGAAGAACGCAGCGAAAUGCGAUACGUAAUGUGAAUUGCAAAUUCAGUGAAUCAUCGAGUCUUUGAACGCACAUUGCGCCCCCUGGUAUUCCGGGGGGCAUGCCUGUCCGAGCGUCAUUGUUGCCCUCAAGCACGGCUUGUGUGUUGGGCCCCGUCCUCCGAUCCCGGGGGACGGGCCCGAAAGGCAGCGGCGGCACCGCGUCCGGUCCUCGAGCGUAUGGGGCUUUGUCACCCGCUCUGUAGGCCCGGCCGGCGCUUGCCGAUCAACCCAAAUUUUUAUCCAGGUUGACCUCGGAUCAGGUAGGGAUACCCGCUGAACUUAAGCAUAUCAAUAAGCGGAGGA
rnacentral:misc_RNA from 1 species